rnacentral:rRNA from 1 species
AGAUUGAACGCUGGCGGCAGGCCUAACACAUGCAAGUCGAACGGUAACAGGAAGCAGCUUGCUGCUUCGCUGACGAGUGGCGGACGGGUGAGUAAUGUCUGGGAAACUGCCUGAUGGAGGGGGAUAACUACUGGAAACGGUAGCUAAUACCGCAUAAUGUCGCAGGACCAAAGAGGGGGACCUUCGGGCCUCUUGCCAUCAGAUGUGCCCAGAUGGGAUUAGCUAGUUGGUGAGGUAACGGCUCACCAAGGCGACGAUCCCUAGCUGGUCUGAGAGGAUGACCAGCCACACUGGAACUGAGACACGGUCCAGACUCCUACGGGAGGCAGCAGUGGGGAAUAUUGCACAAUGGGCGCAAGCCUGAUGCAGCCAUGCCGCGUGUAUGAAGAAGGCCUUCGGGUUGUAAAGUACUUUCAGCGGGGAGGAAGGGGAUAAGGCUAAUAACCUUGUUCAUUGACGUUACCCGCAGAAGAAGCACCGGCUAACUCCGUGCCAGCAGCCGCGGUAAUACGGAGGGUGCAAGCGUUAAUCG